AAAUGAGGAACUUUCUAGAGCAGAUGGAUAUGCAGCAUGUCUGCAUGUUCAUCAUCUCAUAGUGGGAAGCUCAAAUCUUCCUAUGUAUUUAAGCAUAAAAUAGUUAUUUGUUUUAAAAAGAUUUUCCCCUUUCUGAAUCAUUGUGGCUUUUAUACUGAUGUCUGUAGUUUGAAUAAUCUUUUGUGCAAACCAAUUAUUUAUAUAUUCUAAAGUAGUUUAAAAGCCUCCCAAUAUCUGGCUAAUUGUAUAGAGUAUGGUGUGACUAGAAAAGUGAUAUGUAAGUUUUUUUGCCCUCGGAUUUUCAUUGUUUAUCUAAAAAAUGAACUACAGCUUUAAAACAGUGAUAGCUCUAAUUUUGCAAAAAGAAAAGAGGCCCAGAGAAAAUAAUAAUUUUUUAAGCUAGUGUUAGAGCUACAAACUUUAUAUCCUGAUGCCCAGGCAUGUUCUGUUCUGUCACAUGAAGAAUUAGGUAUAGGGCCAUGAUUCAGUGCCUCCACAGCCAGGCAUUUUGCAAGAUAAAUUGGGGUUCUGAGUAUUGAUGUGAAACCUCUCAAUUUUCAAAUUCUAGCAGCUAAAUUACAGCUUUCUGUUGAUCUCUAGCCUCAGUGGAUUUUGGUGAUGCUGCUGAUGAGGCUUUCUUAAAAUAACAUGACUUCCAGUCCUUCUUUGACAUGCAGCUUUAUUAAGAGGCUGAACUGGAGGGAAAUUCUCAUUUAUUAAAUAUCUACUGUGCUCCAGGUAUUUUAAAUACAUUGCCUCACUUGUUUUUGUUUUUGUUUUAACAUACCAAGGUUGGCAUCAUAACCAUUUUACCAACAGAUCAACUCUUCAGACAAGAGGUUGUCUGAAGUUACACAGCUCACUAAUUGAUAAGGCCUUUUAUGAGAGGCCAUGUUAGUUUGACCAGAUCCUAGAAAAAGAGCAGGUACAGAUGGGAUGGAGGUGUAGUAGUAGUUUCCUUCCCACCUAUUCCACCACCCUGAGGUAACAGUUCCUUUUCAUGCAGUCCAGUAUUAUGGUUUAGAUGGAAAAUAAAAGUAUUAGAGUAUGAUAGUUAUAACUUAAUCAUUGCAUUAAUCCACUGAUAUGGGCUAACUGGGUUAUAACUACAGGCAGGUAAGGUGUGGCUGGAGGAAGGAGGUCACUGGGGUCAUGUCUUUGGGGUUUAUAUUUUGUCCCUGGUGAGUGGAGCUCUCUGCUUCCUGUUGCUGUGACCUGAGCUGAUUUCCUCCACCAUGCCCUUCCACCAUGAUGCCUCACCUCAGUCCUAUGGAGUCAGCCAGCCAUGGACUGAACCUCUGAAACCAUAAACCAAAAUAAACUUUUCCUCCUCUAUGUUGUUCAUGCCAGGUCUUUUGGUCACAGUAAUGAAAAAGCUGACUAAAACAAAUUGGUACCAAUUGGAGGGGUUAUUUCUGUGACUAACCAGACCAUGUGGUUCAGAAGUUUUUGGAGCUGGUUUGCAGGGGAAGGAAUUUUUGAAAAGUUUAGAGAUGCAAGCUGGAAAACCUUCAGAGUGCCAUAAGCAUAGUUCAGUGGUGGGAGCUCAGAAGACCAAAAUGUCCGUUGACUGUGGACAGUGAAGACUGGGCUCAUGAAGUGUCAGAGGAGGAGGACCCUAUUGGAAUGUGGACUUGAGGCCAUUUAUGUUACAUUCUGGCAAAGAAACUAUCU
rnacentral:lncRNA from 1 species